rnacentral:lncRNA from 13 species
AUGGUUUUUGGGAUAAAGUUCCAGGAAAAGGAGCAAAAUCCCAGGAAAAAACCACGGGAAUUUUCCAGCUGCUCCCGGCCCUCGUUAAGUGCGGCCACGGAGCGCUCCGGGAAAAAACUGGGAAGCAGCGGCUGCGUUCUGGGAAUUCUGGGAAUUCUGGGAAUUCUGGGAUGGGAAUUCUGGGGAUGGGAAAAAGGGGAAUGGGAAUUUGGGGAAUGGGAAUUCUGGGAAUGGGGAUGGGAAUUCUGGGAAUGGGGAUUUUGGGAAUUCUGGGAAUGGGGAUGGGAAUUCUGGGAAUUCUGGGAAUGGGAAUUCUGGGAAUGGGGAUGGGAAUUCUGGGAAUUCUGGGAACGGGAAUUUCGGGAAUGGGGUGGGAAAAAGGGGAAUGGGAAUUCUGGUAAUGGGAAUUUUGGGAAUUCUGGGAAUUCUGGGAAUGAGAAAGGGGGAUGGGAUGGGAAUUCUGGGAAUUCUGGGGAUGGGAAUGGGAAAAAGGGGAAUGGGAAUUCUGGGAAUGGGAAUUUUGGGAAUUCUGGGAAUGGGAAUUUUGGGAAUGGGAAUGGGAAUGGGGAUGGGAAUUCUGGGAAUGGGGAUUUUGGGAAUUCUGGGAAUGGGAGUGGGAAUUUUGGGAAUGGGAAAAGGGGGAAUGGGAAUUCUGGGAAUUCUGGGAAUGGGAAUUCUGGGAAUGGGAUUGGGAAUGGGAAUUCUGGGAAUUCUGGGAAUUCUGGGAAUGGGGUGGGAAAAGCGGAAAUGGGAAAAGGGGAAAUGGGAAAAGGGGGAAUGGGAAUUCUGGGAAUUUUGGGAAUUCUGGGAAUUCUGGGAAUGGCAAUUUUGGGAAUGGGGACGAGCAUGGAAGAGCAGAACUCCCACGGCUCCCCCGGGAUCUGGGGCCGGAAUUCCCAGAGAAUCCGGGGCUGCUCCAUCCCUGGGAGCUUCCCGGGAAGGAGCCGGAAUAUCGGGAGCCGCCCCGGGAACGCGAUGGGAAUUCAGCUGCUUUUCCCACCCAAACCCAUCCCGGAAUUCCCGGAUUUCUUCCCCCCCGGAAUUCUUUGGAAUUCCCACCUCGGCUCCGGGCUCUUCCCGGCCUCUCGCGGAUUCCAGAGGGGGCAGCCCCAGGACGCUUCCCAAGGCCGUGUCCAGGAGCUCGGAGCGCUCGGGAUCGCUCAGGGGCGGCUCCAGGGCGCUGAUCCCGGGAUAAGGAAAAGGCCGGGAAUGAGCGGUGGGAUGGGAAUUCCCGCUGGGGGAUUCCGGGAUGGGCGGGGCUGGGAGGAAGAGGGAGGAUCUGGGAAUGGGGUUUGA